AGCGAUAAAAAUCAUCCGUAGGCGAUGUACAUAUCUUUAGCUGUCGUCUUGGAAAAAAUUUCAGGAGAGAGCUCUUCCGGAAUGAUCUGGGCGGAGACCGGAGGUACGUCGUGCCCCUCUUUCGGUUCAACCAAGAAUCAAAGAGGAUUAAAUUCACAAGAUACUCGACUACAUGGGGAUGCUGUGGGAGUUGAAUGCUCGGUCUUAUCUAAUUCGGCUCACUGUUAACAAUUGCUGGAAGUGGCGCAAGGAUAUUUAUUUCCAUUUUCUGUGAUCAGGUUUUCCUGCGCUUUCCGAUGUAACGCACGUUAUGUAAUAGCUAAAAGUCGUGAUUGUGAGUGCGGCGUUGGACAGACCUCAGCGUGGGAGCAUCUUGUUUUAGUUUCUGUCUGUAGGCAGGGAUCAACAAAAUGGAGUCGUGGUCAGCUUUUCCGAAAGGGGGGCGGGGCAGGGCCUUAUAUGCGUCGCGGAAGUUAGAGUAACAAUGAUCCAAGGUUUUUCCACCCCUGGUUGCGCAAUCGAUAUGCUGAUAAAAUUUAGGGAGUCUUGUUUUCAGAUUAGCCUUGUUAAAAUCCCCAGCUACAAUGAAUGCAGCCUCCGGAUAAAUGGUUUCCAGUUUGCAAAGAGUUAAAUAAAGUUUGUUCAGAGCCAUCGAUGUGUCUGCUUGGGGGGGGAUAUAUACGGCUGUGAUUAUAAUCAAAGAGAAUUCUCUUGGUAGAUAAUGCGGUCUACAUUUGAUUGUGAGGAAUUCUAAAUCAGGUGAACAGAAGGAUUUGAGUUCCUGUAUGUUUCUUUCAUCACACCAUGUCUCGUUAGCCAUAAGGCAUACGCCCCCGCCCCUCUUCUUACCAGAAAGGUGUUUGUUUCUGUCGGCGCAAUGCGUGGAGAAACCCGUUGGCUGCACCGCUUCGGAUAGCGUCUCUCCAGUGAGCCAUGUUUCCGUGAAGCACAGAACGUUACAGUCUCUGAUGUCCCUCUGGAAUGCUACCCUUGCUCGGAUUUCAUCAAUCUUGUUGUCAAGAGACUGGACAUUGGCAAGAAGAAUGCUAGGGAGUGGUGCACGGUGUGCCCGUCUCCGGAGUCUGACCAGAAGACCGCCUCGUUUCCCUCUUUUUCGGAGUCGUUUUUUUGGGUCGCUGCAUGCGAUCCAUUCCGUUGUCCUGUUUGUAAGGCAGAACACAGGAUCCGCGUCGCGAAAAACAUAUUCUUGGUCGUACUGAUGGUGAGUUGACGCUGAUCUUAUAUUCAGUAGUUCUUCUCGACUGUAUGUAAUGAAACCUAAGAUGACCUGGGGUACUAAUGUAAGAAAUAACACGUAAAAAAACAAAAAACUGCAUAGUUUCCUAGGAACGCGAAGCGAGGCGGCCAUCUCUGUCGGCGCCGGAAGAUUGGUUGCUCAGCGUACCUAAGUUGUUCCUCACCAAUCUUAGCCCUGUCUUUCGCAACCAAUCGGAGCGCUUGGAAAUGCACAUCUGGACACUGCACCCGCCCGCUCUGGUCAGAGUAUUAUCGUAGUCCGAAGGGAGAAGACAUUUCUGAGGACUUUUAUUGAAUUUUAUACCAAAACAGCCACACUGUUGUAAUAGUGUGAUGUGUAACUUCUGACACACUCCAUUCUUAGUAAAGUAAUGUUUUUCGUUUGAAAAUUCUAACAUUCACAUUUGUUUGCAGUGACAUGUCUACCAAAACCAAAGUGUGGAUUUCAGUCACUCAUUUGAACAGUGCAUAGACAGCCUACAGGGUAAGGAAACCAAUAUGUAAAUACAUAACUUGCUGAACAUUAAAGUUGAAGGAUUAUUACUUUUAAAGGCCUAAUAAGAGUGCGGCCAAACAAAGAAAAGUAUGAAAAUAGUCUGCUGUUAAAAGACUGCAGCAAUGGAAAUAUUUAAAGGUUAGGAUAUACAUAUAUAAUUUCUACCUGAAAAUACCUCUACAAACACAUAUCACUUCGCUGACCAUCAACACUGUGGCCCCACAAGGGUUCGUGCUCAGCCCCCUCCUGUAGUCCCUGUUCACCCACAACUGCGUGGCCAUGCAGAUGACACAACAGUAGUGGGCUUGAUCACCAACAACGACGAGACAGCCUACAGGGAGGGAGGCGAGAGCCCUCGGAGUGUGGUGUCAGGAAAACAACUUCUCACUCAACGUCAACGUCAACGUAACAACGGAGAUGAUCGUGGACUUCAAGAAACAGCAGAGGGAGCAGCCCCUAUCCACAUCGAAGGGAUAGUAGUGGAAAAGGUGGAAAGUUUUAAUUUCCUCAGCGUACACAUCACAGACAAACUGAAAUGGUCCACCCACACAGACAGUGUGGUAAAGAAGGCGCAACAGCGCUCCUUCAACCUCAGGGGGCUGAUAAAAUUUGGCUUGUCACCCAAAACCAUGACAAACUUUUACAGAUGCACAAUCGAUUCCAUCCUGUCUGGCUGUAUCACAGCCUGGUACGGCAACUGCACUGCCCUCAACCGCAAUCUCUCUUGAGAUGGUGGUGCAGUCUGCACAACUCAUCACCAGGGGCAAACUACCUGCCCUCCAUGACACUUAAAGCACACUUAUGUCACAGGAAGGCAAAAUAGAUCAUCAUGGAAAACAAAAACCCGAGCCACUUCCUGUUCACACUACCAUCCAGAAGUCGAGGUCAGAGCAGGUUCAUCAAAGCUGGACCGAGAGAUUGAAAAACAGCUUCUAUCUCAAGGCCAUAUGACUGCUAAACAGCAUUCACUAACCACUUUAAAUAAUGCCACUUUAGUAAUGUUUACAUAUCUUACAUUACUCAUAUCAUAUGUACGUACUGCAUUUUAUACCAUCUAUUGCGUAUUGCUUAUGCCGCUCGGCCAUCGCUCAUCCAUAUAUUUAUAUGUACAUAUUCUCAUUCACCCCUUUAGAUGUGUGUAUUAGGUAGAUGUUGGGGAAUUGCUAGAUUACUUGUUAGAUAUUACUGCAUUGUUGGAAUUAUAAGCUCAAGCAUUUCACUACACUCGCAUUAACAUCUGCUAACCAUGUGUAUGUGACCAAUACAAUUUGAUUUGACAUUGAUUUGAUUUGAUUUGAGUAGUAAUGAAGGAAUAAAAAUCCCCCAGAGAAAAACGGUCUAGCUGUUGUUGUUAUUAUUUAGUCCCAUAUUCCUAGAACACAAUGACUAUAUCAAGAUUGUGACUCUACAUACUUGUUGGAUGCAUUUGCAGAUUGUUUUGGGGCUGCUCUCACCACCCACCUCAGCCCACACUGCCACAAGAAGGCAUCAUGCACCUGAGUAAGAUGAGUUGCCUCCACACCUCUCUCAUCUAAGAGACCACCAGCCCUGCUCCAGGCCUCCUCAGUGGUCAGGGAGUGACCACACCCUCACCAGUUGGGAGCUGAUGAGGGAAUAUGAGUACCUAUGUCACGAGCAGCAAGAGACCAGGAGGGGGUACUCAGGCUAUAUCUUCCUGUUUACUGAUUUGUUUAUAUUUGUGAGGUUGACAACAUUAGCUAAAUAUUUGCAAUUCAACACUUCCUCACAUCUUUCCAAAUAGUAUUUGUGAGUAAAAUGUUAGAUAUAUUUACUUAAACAUCCUGUGUUGUGUGCUUUUUCUUUUACCACUGUCACGCCUACUACUGCUCCCUCCGCGAUCGUUAUCGCUGGUCUACUAACCACUGGUCCUGGCAACCCACAUUGUGCACUCCUGCACCCCAUCAUUACGCACUGCUGGACUUCAUCACCGCCCUGACAACUCUCCCUUUAUAUAGCAAUCAGUAGCCUCAGUCAUCAGGCAGUACUGUUUUUUUUCAUGUUCAGUACGCUUCUCCUGUUUUGGUUUAUCUGCUUUUCUCAUCAUUAAACUUACCUUCUCCACCUGCUUCCUGACUAGCAUAUACAGAAUACUGACUCAGAAAAAAUGGAAACAGCAGAAGAUAACAGCAUCUUCCAGACGGUUGAGGAACAGGGUCUUCUACUCCACCAAUACCACCAGCUGUCACUGCUGUGUACGACCUUGAAGAAGGUCCUCCACGUUCUCCACCGCCUCGACACCACCAGCUGACUCUACUGGGUACGGUCAUGAAGAUUGUCCUCUGUGUUCUCCAACGCCUCAAAUUCACCAGCUGGCUCUACUGGGUACGGCCAUGAAGGAGGUCCUACACGGUCUCUACCGCCUCGACACCACCAGCAAGGUUCUCCAAACCUCUGAUGUAGGGCCUCCUACCACGGGUCGUCACAGUGCCAGUCCUCCAGCCAUCCCUAGACGUCCGCCCAGGUCAGCGAUGCCUGACUCUCUCUUCCUGAGAAGUAUGACGGCACUACAUCGAAAUGCCGUGGCUUCCUACUCCAGUGCUCCCUCUAUUUCGCCUAUCAGACGGGAGCCCCAACCACCGAGUGAUCCAAGGUUGCCACGGUCAUUUCCCUGCAGACCGGACGGUCGUUGGAAUGGGCUACGGCCAUCUGGGAGAAGGGAGAGGAGGAGCUGGGUUCCUAUGAGAAGUUCAUGGUUCUGUUCAGGGCGGUCUUCGACCAUCCUCCAGAGGGCAGAGAUAGAGGUGAGAGACUUUUCCAACUCCAGCAGGGUGCCCAGAUCACUGUGGAUUAAGCCCUCACCUUUCGGAGUGUGGCAGCCUCCAGCGGAUGGAAUGAGCCGGCGCUCUGCACUCUGUUCCGCAGUGGACUGCAUGAAGAGGUCCAGACGGAGUUGGCAUGUCGUGAUGACAACAUAUCCUUGGAUGCUCUCAUUCCGAUAGCCAUCCGUCUGGAUAACCUACUUUGGGAGCGCUGGUGUCCACCAGAGUCAGCUACUGACCACCGGUCCUGGCAACCAUCAUUGUGCACACCUGGACAUCAUCACCAACCUGUUACUCUCCCUUCAUGUAGACUCUGUCAUUAGGCAGUAUUGGUUUUGAUCACGUUCAGUACGCUUCUCCUGUUUCGUUAAACCUGCUUGUUCUCAUCUUUAAACUUACCUUCUGCCCCUGCUUCCAUACUCCAAGUGUAAACGUUACAACCAUUGAUAUGUUCCAGUCCAUUAUCACACCUUAAAUCUCUUCUUAUUGUGAGACAUUACACAGGUCACUCAAAACAUUGAAAAUAGCUCUCGCUUUAGAUUAGGUACUGCAAAAAUAUUUAAUCAGUAAAUGUAAAUAUUAACGCCCCAAAUGUGACAUUCACACAAUCACAGGAUUUUGUGCAAGGUAUGUUACAAUACAGUAGUUAGACUAUUAUAGAUGGACCUUGUGCCCAGGGUCUGGGGGCUACGGUUGAAGCUGUUGUGGAGGGCUAACUUGAUUAAAUGGUUAAUCAUGAAUUAUUCCUAAAGAGUUGUCAUUUUUUUGUGAAAUAUUAUUUUGUAUGUCCUUUUGAGAUGAUUGAUUCAACUAAAUGAAAUGGAUAUUACAUUUAUGUCAUGCCCUGAUCUGUUUCACCUGUCCUUGUGAUUGUCUCCACCCCCUCCAGGUGUCGCUGUCACGACUUCUGCCAAAGUCGUUGCCUCUCCUUGUUCGGGCGGUGCUCGGAGGUGGACGUCACCGGUCUUCUAGCCAUCAUCGAUCCAUUUUUCAUUUUCCAUUGGUUUUGUCUUGUCUUUCCACAUACCUGUUUUCAAUCCCAUUCAUUACCUGUUGUGUAUUUAACCCUCUGUUUCCCCUCAUGUCUUUGUCAGAUAUUGUUUAUUGUCAGUGUAGUGUUAUUUGUAUAGGUGCGCGACAGGUCUUCGUACCCAUAUUUGUUUAUAUUCAUUUUUCUUAUUAGUGUUAUGGAGCAUGUUACUUGGACAUUUAUUAAAAUACUCUAUUUUGCACUCCGUUAGACUCUCCUGCGCCUGACUUCCCUGCCACCUACACACACAUCUCUGACAGAAUCUCUGACCAAAUAUAAUAUAUGAAGUCAGCAGGAGAGGACACUACGCUCAUGGAGAUGGAGGAACGCGUCCGGGAACAAGCGGAGGAGAUUGACUGUUUGAGCGCCGUCAUGGAUCGACAUUGUCCAGAAAAUGGAUCGCUGGGAGAGACAGGAUACAAUGGAGAUACUGCCGGCUGCCAGGGUUUCCUCCUUAAACUGAGUUUGUAUCUGGCCACGGUCUCCCCAGUACCAUCGGACCGUGAGAAGAGUUGCGCCCUCAUCUCAUGCCUCACCGGGAAAGCCCUGGAGUGGGCCAGCUCUGUGUGUAGAGAGGAGGAUGCGACGUUGGACCAUUUUGAGGAGUUCACCCGCCAUUUCCGGAUAGUAUUCGCGGGUGAGCGCCUCUAUCAUCUGAGGCAGGAGACGAGGAGUGCACAGGAGUUUGCUUUGGAGUUUAGGAUAAGUUACCUGUGCAAGGUUCCCAGUUCUCAACACUCGUUAGCCCUCAGUACCUAGCACUAAGUCAUUGGUUUCCAGCUGCACUAGGUCAUUGGUCUCCAGCUGCACUAGGUCCUUAGUCUCCAGCUGCACUUGGUCAUUGGUCUCAAGCUGCACCAGGUCAUUGGUCUCCAGCUACACUAAGUCCUUAGUCUCCAGCUGCACUAGGUCAUUGGUCUCCAGCUACACUAGGUCAUUGGUCUCCAGAGUCGUUCUCCCUGUCAGGUUCAGAGUCAUUCUCCCUGGCAGGUCUAGUGUCGUUCUCCCUGUCAAGUUCAGAGUCAUUUCCCAUGGCAGAUUCAGAGUCGUUCUCACUGUCUCCAGCUGUAGUCUACCCUCAGUACACUGCUCUGCCAUGCUAUAGGUUCAAGCAGUCAGCUCCCUCAGUGCUACAUGCCAAACCACCUGCCCUAGUUCUAGGCCUUGGGUCUCCCGUCUCGCUACAGCCCUGCCUGCACCCAGUCACCUAUAUUAGCACUAGCCUAUAGUAGUUCCCUGCUUGGCUAGUUUUGCGGCCUCCCACUAUACCUGGCUUGCAGUCAUCAGAUUUAGUAGUGGGUUCCAAGUCCCCUGCCCUGAUAGGCCGUCAGCUCCCCGACAUGGGGAACGACCAUUCCCUUACCUGGGGGGCCUGAUGUCUCUAGCUGCCUCCAGAUCCCUGAUGAUCCUCGCCCAGGGGUCCCCACAAGCUCCACCAUGGGAGUUAGCACUUUUAGCAGUGGUGAAAGAGUCACCAGCCGCAGCCAGUGAGCUGCCAAUAACUGUUUUUGCCAGCAUGCCAAUUCAUCUGCCACAGUAGGAGAGCCACCAGCUUCAGCUUCAGCCAACCUCUGGCAUUACACUCAGCGUCUAAGGAUGGGGACCAGCUGCCCUGCACCAGCUGAGUUAGAGGGCCCUCCCCCACCCGAAUUGCAUUCCAUGAAGCGACCAUGGACUGUCUCCGAGUAUCUAUGUACCGCCCUUUUCGGCAGGGUAGUGUCAUGACUGUCCUGCUUGGCUCAGGUUACCAAUGCCCACAAUCCUGCAGAGAGAUCUCACCCCCACCAGAGGAGAAGGGAUCUCAAGGGAUAGGAAGAUGGGGGGGAUUUAUGACACGUCACGCCAAUUAUAAAUCUAAGGCAGGAGACCAAAUUCCUUUGUCCACUCACUAUGGAGAACUAUGUAGAACAUUAUCUUGCAAUAAAUUGACUUUGGGACAAGGGGUUUCGUCAGCCACAAAGAUGAUAGAUGGAAUAGGAAAAUUCAUGUCAUUUUUGUUAUGUUAUUAAAAGCCAAAGGACGCCGUUAUAACAAAAACGUUGUAACUUUAAGAGUUUUCCUAAUAUGUGCUUGAUGUUUAUACAUUGUACGUUGUGUGGAAAAUGUCCAAAUCAAAGAGAAUGAUUUGGUAAAGAUGAAAUGUGAAGUUAGUUUUCUAAAAUUGGAUUUGAGUCAAAUGUAGACCUUGCCUCAUAACUAGGUACGCCCAAGAAUUGCCCCAAAGGCGGAAGACGCCAACUUCCGACACAAGGGUAUAAGACAUGUGAGUUAAUUAAUAAUUAACAUAUCAGACUAAGUGACCCGAGCUGCAGCCAAGGUCUGAGUAGUCAACGAACCCAAAACGCAACAUGAGGUCGAAGACAACGGAACCCUUUUCUACCCAUGCUACGGAUGAGUAGCUACAUCUAAGCGGGUGAAUUGAAGCUGGACCACCUGGUCUCCACUCCCCAUCGAAGCGUGUAUCUACACUGUUUUCAUUCCUAAUCUGUGAGCCCUGAGCUAUAGGGCUGGCUGUCCUCAGAAGACCCCUUUCAGAACAAGGGUGAGGAAUCAGACCACUAAGCCAAAAGGACACUGACAUUGUGAGGACAACCAGAGAGUUGCACCAGAGAAGUGCGCCAUUGAGAAGCCUAAACGGCCCACGUAAUUACAACAUUAUAUUCUGACCCAUAAGAGCGGCAGUUCGGGGAAAGGUUAGGUUUAAAAUAAGCAUGGCUGACAAAUGCACCCAAAUGUAUGUUUCUCUUGUGUACUUUCUCUUUUUCUUUCUCUUUGAAAUGCCCAUUUUGGGUAACACGCGUCAUAGUGUGUUGUCCCUUUAUACAAAGUUCUAAUCAAUAGCCUAGACUGUGUUUUUGUGUAUGUGUAUCUUUUAUUAUCAUUUUAGCUAAUAAUUAUCCAAAAUUGGUGUGGUACAAACUCAUUGGUGGGACUCGGGUUUGUGCAGAUUCCCUGAUUAUACGACAUUCCGAAUGAGACUGUAGAGGAAAUUGAUUAAUUAGUGACUGUUGUAAAAUCGAUAUUCUGAUAUUCUUUGAGUUAAUUUUGGAAAUAGAAACUCAAUAAAACAAAUUUUUCCAUGGUGCCCCAGGUUAACCUC